UACGUAGGGUGCGAGCGUUAAUCGGAAUUACUGGGCGUAAAGCGUGCGCAGGCGGUUUUGUAAGCCAGAUGUGAAAUCCCCGGGCUUAACCUGGGAAUGGCAUUUGGGACUGCAAGGCUGGAGUGCGGCAGAGGAGACUGGAAUUCCUGGUGUAGCAGUGAAAUGCGUAGAUAUCAGGAGGAAUACCGAUGGCGAAGGCAGGUCUCUGGGCUGACACUGACGCUCAUGCACGGAAGCGUGGGGAGCAAACAGG
rnacentral:rRNA from 1 species